rnacentral:rRNA from 1 species
GACGAACGCUGGCGGCGUGCUUAACACAUGCAAGUCGAACGGAAAGGCCCCUUUGGGGGUACUCGAGUGGCGAACGGGUGAGUAACACGUGAGUAACCUGCCCUUGACUUCGGGGUAACUUCAGGAAACUGGGGCUAAUACCGGAUAGGAAUCCUAGCUGCAUGGUGGGGGUUGGAAAGCUUCGGCGGUUUUGGAUGGACUCGCGGCUUAUCAGCUUGUUGGUGGGGUAGUGGCUUACCAAGGCUUUGACGGGUAGCCGGCCUGAGAGGGCGACCGGCCACAUUGGGACUGAGAUACGGCCCAGACUCCUACGGGAGGCAGCAGUGGGGAAUAUUGCACAAUGGGCGGAAGCCUGAUGCAGCAACGCCGCGUGCGGGAUGACGGCCUUCGGGUUGUAAACCGCUUUCAGCAGGGGCGAAGCUUGUGGUGACGGUACCUGCAGAAGAAGCACCGGCUAACUACGUG